CGGCAACAUCGUUUUCACUUUGACGCUUUGCCUUGUUAUUAUUCGUUGAAAAUCAUUUAUCUGCUUGUAAACGUUCAAGUCGAUUAUGUCUUACAUAUGGUGGUAGUCGAUUAUUUGGAGUCGCCUUUCUGCUGCCGAAAACUACCGGUUGGUGAAUUUUCAUACACGUUUUUAGAACAGCGUUUUUGCAAAUAUAAUAGUGACCACCUUACAUACAAUACAUAAACUACAGUUAGACUUUACAGACGAGCAAGUGCAGCGGAAGAUGUGUGUUGAAGAGCUGGUUUUUAGAAACGGAGGCAUAGAUGACAUUGAUGGUGCUGUGUAUGAUGGUGCAAAUACCUAGUAAGUGUUUGACAUG